rnacentral:rRNA from 1 species
UACGAAGGGGGCUAGCGUUGCUCGGAAUCACUGGGCGUAAAGCGCACGUAGGCGGCUUCUUAAGUCAGGGGUGAAAUCCUGGAGCUCAACUCCAGAACUGCCUUUGAUACUGAGAAGCUUGAGUCCGGAAGAGGUGAGUGGAACUCCGAGUGUAGAGGUGAAAUUCGUAGAUAUUCGGAAGAACACCAGUGGCGAAGGCGGCUCACUGGUCCGGUACUGACGCUGAGGUGCGAAAGCGUGGGGAGCAAACAGG